AAUAAGAAGCUUUUAUUGGGUAUAGAUUAGCUUUGAAAGAGGAACUGGGAACCAGGAAUAAGGAACUGGGAAUAAGGAACCAAGUUCAGCCUUGUGCAUCACCCUUCAAAGGAUCUCACAGGCCCCUGGUUGAGAAUCACUGGUUCAGAAUGAUUUAAGGCACUGCAUUGGCAUCAAAAUAAACCCAAUGUGCAGCUACACACAAGCCACACAGUUACACAAAAAUAGAUAGAUUUCCUUGGAUGCACAUGUAAUUUAAAUGCAAGGCCUUGGCAGAGGGACACUUGUGUGACACCAAUAAAGGAGCAACCCCUCUACAUCACUAGAGCAGCGAUCCUCCUAUGCAGUUUAUAUAAGAGAAAGGCUGCACCUGCACCUCACUGCUGAAGUGAGAGGGGUUCUGCUUGAGCAUGUGAAUCUAAGCCUACAAAUACUUUUGCAAGCAUAGACUGGGCAUACACAGUUUUGAACCGAUUUAACUAUUGCUUUAGAAAUCAGUACAUUUCUGCAGAUACUAAGGUGUUUCUCGUGCUGGGUAGCUUGUUUCAGUAAGUUUGUAAGCACUAGAUAUUACGAGGGCUGCUCAUUUGCAGUGGGAUAUAUUUCUCAUUUAUUGUGGUUUGACCAUAGGAAUUUUCCUCCUCUCGCUUGUACAACUUGCUUUGAGAGAUUCUGAUGCUGCAAGCUGUCAAACAAGAAAUGUAUCGGGCCAAUUUACCAGCUACACCAGCUGUGACUGAGAUUUCAAGUUAUCAGCCACCUUUGUAUUUCUGGGGCUGUCUGAAUUUUCACGGAACAAUCCCGCCAGCUGGGUUUAUGAGUUAAGCACAGGUUGCAGAACCAACAGGAGGCCAACAGGUAGCACAACUGGUGAUACAUUUACAGAGCAAGUGCAAGGGGGGAAAAGAGACUUCUCUGAGAAAGGACAGCAUUGUUGCUAAAGGUUUCUCUGAAGAUGAGGUGGAGUCUCCUGCAGGGAUAAUAAGAUCUCUAGUAAGGGAAGCCAAGUCACUGCAGAGGACACCUGAGCAGGAUGUCUCUGGCUCCACACCUGCCUCUUUCCUGGCAGUUCCCCACAGCCCAGCCUCAGCUCUGCUCCAGCGGUCACAGAGUCUUCACCCUGCUCCCCAAGGCCCAGGUGUGGAGCUGAGCCACAGGCCCCUUUUCCUCCUUCCCAGGGAGGUGAUCCCAGGAGGCAGAGGGCAGAGAGCCCUGAUCCACUGAAGUGCCCCCCCUCCCCCCGCCCUCUCUCCAAAUGGGGCAGGAAAGGGACAGAGAGUGGGGCCUGGCCUGGCCUGACCCAGGAGGGGCUCUGAUUGGCUGGUGUCCCCCAGAAACUCCGAAAAAUGGGGCAGGCAGCCAAUCAGAAGUGAUCCCCAGUCAGGCCUGGCAUUUGUGGCUUUCAGGAUUGAUUUCCAGCCCUUGCUGUGGUUGGGUCUGGUGUGCAGGGCAGUGCUGGUGACCAGGCUUGUAACCCUCAUGGUAGAGGCCUUUCUCUGCAGCUGCUGCUCAGGGAGAGUGCCCGAUGGAGCACCAGUCUAUGAGCAGGGGCAGGCUGUCUCUGUGAGGCUCCAAGUGUCUGCCUGCCCCAGCCCAGGCAGUGAAGGAAGGAGGAAAUGGCUUGGCUGAGCCUGAUGGGACACUUAUCACGAGGAGAAGGGCUUGCUGGAGCCCAAGGGUAGAUCCAAAGGGGGAGGUGGCGUGUGAGAAGAGCUGGGGGGAGGCUGACUGGGAGCAGAAAGGGGCCUGUGACACACUGAGUUGAGGAAGAAGAACUGCGUCAGUGCGGGAGGACUCUUACUCAUUACUAUAGUACCUGAACCAAGACAUCCUACACGUGUAUGAUCCACAUCCUUAGCCCACUGUUGCCGUCAGGUGGCAGAGGUCUGUGCUGUAGGUCUGCGGGUCACAACCCUGCCGGUAACUCAGGCUGGGAUCAGCUCAGUUCCACGUAGUGGGACUUAUCAUUCGUUUCUGUCAUUUUUAAUGAAGAAAUAAUGAAAAAGCCUUUAGCAAAGACCCUUCGAGUUGCAAAGUCAAGACAUCAAGAGGUGGUAAAAACCAGAACUGAGGAACAAGAGAAAUCCUAGCAAUGGUACAGGAUUUUUGUCAGAUGUAGCAGGUCGACUAUGUUGCAACAAACAAAAAUGUUCAAUAAAUAUUCAUAUUCUGUGUCUAGAAAGAAACAAAAUGAUGAGGUCAUAUUGCAUGAGGAAGAUGAACUUUCCAGUCUGAUUAAUAACAAAAACACUAGUCCAUUUCUCCUAGAAAUAAAACACAAAAAUUGAGAGAGAAAAUGCCUGAUGAAGAGAAAUUUAAAAAGUUUGAUCUCUUUGGUUUAUAAAAAAGUAAAGUGAGGGGUGACUCAGUUAAACAGAAGUACAGUUAGGGAGGGAGUCCCUUGUGGUUCACUGGUAGCAUCCUUGUCUACAACACAGGAGAUCUGAGUUCAAGUCCCAGACACUUGCACAGCUACAGCCAUGGAGGCACCAAGCAUCUGGACUCAAGUUUGGUCUUCGGAUUCUGUCUCAGUGGCCUAAAGGGCAGGUGGACAGUCUGGGUACCCUCCACUCCUUCAAAAAUUCCUGCUCAAGCAUGUGUAUUGAAGGUCUGGGUGGCCCUUGUGCAUAUACCAUGAUCCAGGAUUGCCACAUUUGUGGAGAAAAUACUAGCUACUAAAAGGCUCUUUGAUCUAAUGGAGAAAUGCCUAGCAACAGUGAAUGGCUGGAAGCUGGAGCCAGAUGCAAUCAAAUUAGGAAAAGGUAUCAUUUUUAAGUGUGGGAGUGAUUAUUAAAAUAAAAUACCAAGGGAAGUGAGGGAUCUUCUGUCUCUUUGUAUCUUCAGCUCCAGACUGGAAGGCUUUAUAAAGAAUAGAGAAUAUGCAUUAGGCAAACAUAAUUUACCACACUCUAUUACAAGGGUGAUUGGGUGAAAUGUUAAUGGCCUGUGAUAUGCAGAUUAGACUUAAAAAUCCAGCAGUCCCUUUUUGCCUCAAACUCCAUGAAUCCAUGAAUGUCCACCAUUAAGUGUGUCUGCAAGGUUGAACUGAGUGUUGUGCUAGCAUUGUGUGUAGCUGUUAAGAGCAUUUUAGAGUUAGAUGCUUUAUUUAUUUUUCAGUAAUUCUGGUGAGAGCAGCUCUUAAACUGGCAUGUAAAAUUUCCUUUAGAAACUCAUCUGAGCCAUGACUUUUAUUAUGAUGCAGGUCCUGCAUUGUUUGUUAUUUGACUUCUCAUGUAAAUUCAGAUUCCAAGAAAUACUAAUAAUUCAUAUUGCAGUAAUGCCUGGAGACAGCCGAGAUUGGAGCCCAUUGUUCUGGGCUCUGUGUGUACACAUAAUGAAAAGAUCAUCUCUGUCCCCAAUGCUUUACACUCUUCACGUAUAGUGAGAGAGAACAAAUAAACAGUGUUUAAGAAAACUAGGUUGUUUAUCAAGACCUGAGCAUUAUACUCUACCGAUUUGCAUCUGAUUACACUGAUGAGUUUCACCUCAUUUUACCCCAUAGUGAGAGAAGGUUUGUGUCCAUGGUCCUUGCAGAGUCACUGUCAUCCAUACAACAUGACACAUUUGAGUCCAUAUAAUAUCUAAUCUGUGAUACAUAGAAAAACUGUUGGUUCACCAUGAAUACUGCAGAGUAAUCUGUUAAAUUGGGUGUACUAUAUUCAGUUCCAUUCUUUGUUUCAGGUUGCUAUCAGGCGACACCUGCUGGCUGGUUUGCUCUCAAUGUUCAUUUGGUAACCUUUUUUCUGGCCAAUUAAUGGAACAGGGCUGUUCAGUUUCUGGACAGUUGGGGCUGCAUGCACCUGAGUGCAGACACCCGGGUUGCAUGCAGCAUCGGCCACAGACCUCUGGGCUCCCACCUCCUCCAUGUGUGCAGAUGCAAACCCAUUCCUGAUCCUGCAUACAGGGCUCCUCUUUUGCAGCAUAAUCAGUCUGGAUAUGUGGCACCCUCUUGCCACCCUGGCCCUAGGAGCGGAAAACAAAGGGAGGGGGAGCGUGCUGGGAAGAGCCAGGGCUGUGCCGGGUGGGGAGGGGGGUUAGAAGGGUCUAUGGUGAAACUUGGGGUGGCUGCAGCCCCCCCCCCCAUAACUCCCUCCCAGUGCCACCAACACUCACCCCAAGGCCAGCCCUUGCUGAGAAGACCCUAGCGCAGCCCCGGCUCCAGCCCACAGCUGCAGCCUGCCUACCCUGCCCUAUGCAGAUCUGGCUGCACACAUCUCCUCCCCCCGUGCCCUCCCAGGGUGUGCACAUCAGUGGGACCGCCCCUCACCCCAGACGAGCUAUCCUGCACCCCACCCACCCAGCUGAGCAGCAUCUGCCUCUGCCCCACUCCCUCCCUUACCAUGGGGGGCAUUGAUCUGUCCCCACAAUGCCCCUUCCUUCCCUCAAGUGGCAGUUUGAGCCUGCAACCCUGGCAGGUAGCCAGGUGUCACAGUGCACAUUUCGGCACGUAGAGCUAGGGCUCUGGGAGCCGUGAACGGUGGCUGGAGCCUGCAACCCCAGACGGCCUGCGGAUCUCACGGUGUGCAGGGCAGCGCAUGGGCCCGGGCCUUAGGAGCUGCAGCAGGGUGGCUCAGGCCCGUAACUCAGGCAGGCGGCUGAGCAGGGAGGUAUGCAAAUGGCGCAUGGAGAGCCAGCCCUUGGAGCAGCUCAAGGCUGCUUGGGCCCCACACGGUGUGCAGGUCGGCGCAUGGAGAGUUGCGCCUGGGAGCAGCUCAAGGCUGCUCAAGUUAGCCCUGGCUCUAGGCCAGAUAACCAGAGCCCUGCAGUGUGGCUCAGCAUUAAACUAAAAGAGCCCCAGUGCCCCAAGCAGAGCCCAGGAAGGGGAAAGACCCCUGGUGUGAGGCUGGGGAACCAGAGCCAGUGAGGGCUCAUCUCCCGUAGGAGCUCCCUGGGUGCCCAACGCAGGGCACAGGGCCCAGAGGGAAGAACCCUCAACUCAAGGCCAACGGCUCCAGGAGGCCUGAGAUGGUGUGGGGACCCAGAGUCCAGAUCAACAGCACCCAGAGGAAGUACUGUGAGUUACCCAGAACCCGGGUCCUGCAGGGGAGGUGUCCCCGGGCAAGGGACCCUGGGGGGAGUGGACCUAGGGGGAGAAGACCCUAUCCCAUUUGAGGGACCAAGUGAUUGGAACCCAGAUAGGGUGCGUCUAAUAUCUGGUAUAGUUGUUUCCUAUUCGGUAUCUAUUGUUAUUGUUGGUGUUAUAAAUAGUUGGGUAUUAAUUCUGUAUAAUAGGCUCUGUAAGGAUGUCUUUAUUAGCUAACCCACUUGUGGUAUAAACUUGCUGGAUUGACUGUCCUGGGAUCCAUCCCUCUUCUGGUCCUGAGGCACAGGUACUUACCUGAAUGCCCUCCCUAGGGCCGACUUCCUCCAGCUAACAGACCUUUAUAUGUAUAUUUGUAUUUAUAUUUGUAAUUAUAUCUCUCUUAAAGAGUUUUAUAUAUAUGUUGGUAACUCAAUAAAUUGUAUAUAGUUGAGAACUUUGGGCUUGGGAUAACUCUAUAGAGGAAAGAGGGAUCCACUGGAAAUUCUGGCAUCCCUCUCACAGCACCCCCCCCUCCUGCCUACCUAUCCCAUCCAAUUGAGAAUAGGGCACACCCUUGGGUGUACCCAGGUUACACUACAAUAAGUGCCAACUCAAAACACAAUAGUUUUCCCCUGGAAGUUACUGUCCAGCCUCCUGGAUCAGGAACAUAGUUUUCUGAAAGAUCUCCUGCUGCGAGGUGAGAUUUCCUAAUAAAACACAAACAGGCUCACCACUGGGACACGACUCUCUCUCCGAUCAAGGCCAGGUUCUCAUGGAAGGUAAGUACCUGGCCCAGGGGUCCCUGCUGGAUUUGUGCCACUGAGUAUCCCAUUUUCUGGGAGAUGACAUAUGAUCCAUGAGACCCUGGUUGCUGUCACAGUUCUCUUUUCCUUUAUUCAGAUUAAUUAUGUUUGUUUCUUAGACUCGGAGGCAGCAAGGGGCUGACAGGCAGCAAUGGGAGCUGCAAUAAGAGAGCAGGAGGAGAGAGAACCUGCUCAGAAAGGCAGGUCUCAGCCCUACAGUGUAUAGUCAUCUGUGAGUAUGCCACUCCCAAAAUCAUACUACUCCAUCAAGUGAGCUUCUUUCUCAUGAGGAAGCAUGUUGCUCAGCUGCCAUUUUCUUCUUUAACUGGAAAUGAGUAAUAGCAGCAUUCUGCUUCCUGGGAGGUGGCACUAUUACCCAGCCAAGACUUUAUUGGUUCCCCUGCAUCUGCAACAUCCAGAAUGGGGAGAAUUUGGAAGUUGACUGAAAAUCACAACCAACUGGAAAUGUUUUCUGCAGCUCCUCAGCUGUGUUGCUCAUCUCCGAUCACCUCCUUUCUACAAGGUGACAUUUGGAGCAGUUUAUCCCCUGCAGAUCCUCCCUGGAUUUGUGUGUCUCUGCACUGCCUGUUUCCUGGCAAGUGGGGCUUUGUGUAAAGACUUUAUCAAUUCUCCUCACGCAUCCUGUCUCCUAUUCCUCUUUUAGAAGGAGAGACAGCAGUGGCGGCUGCAGAAACCUCUGAGGAGGAGGGAGGAGCAGCAGAGAGUAGCCAGUAUGUAAAAGAAGUGAAUCACAGCUUAUUAAAAUGAUCAUCAUUGUCUGAAA